AGGAGAAUAGCUCAAAUUUAGGUAGAGCUUUAGUUUUCAAAACUAAUGGUUGUAGGUUCAAAUCCUUCUUCUCCUG
rnacentral:tRNA from 1 species